GCCGGGGUGGUGAAACUGGUAGACACGCUGGAUUCAAAAUCCAGUGGGGGCAACUCCGUGUCGGUUCGACUCCGACCCUCGGUACCA
rnacentral:tRNA from 1 species